AUCCCUCUGACGAGUCCCAAAUAGAACGAAAUGCGCGUUCUAAAU
rnacentral:hammerhead_ribozyme from 1 species